UUUUUUUUUUUGUCAGGGGCCGGAUUGGGAUUUUUUUUUUGUCAAAGGCAUCGUUGUCUUUCGAGGUAAUUGUCAGGGACUGAUUUGGGUUUUAUUCUAGUUUUUAAUGUGCAUAUAACAUUUUGUCAUGCUAAAUAUCACAAGCUUUCUUUCUUUUUCCUUAAAAGAAUUGCUAAUGUAAUGCACAUGUUUCUUUUAGUAUAAUUAAACUAUGGCUUGAAACUAACAUUUAUGUUAAAAGGUAAACAAAUUGAGUUUAAGUUUAACUAAAAUUAGUUAAGAAAUGAAUUUGCACAUGCACCCUUUAAACUCUAUUUCUAGCUCACAAAUGUUUAACAUUUUGGAUGAGAUUUUGUUAAAAAAUAGUUUUAGAAUGCAGAGCAGACAGCAUCAUCUUACUUAAAGAAUUCAAUUAUACUAUACAGAAGGAAAAAAAAAUGAAUUUAAUUUGAUGGGAAAAAGUGAAAGGUUGCUUAAGAUGGAGACAUAUAUAUUGUUGAAUCUUUUCUUUCUUUCUUGAGUGCGCUAUCUUGUCAUGGGGUCAUGGCAGCCCUCACCCUCUUAUUCCAUCUUUUCUUGAACUCAAACAGUAGCCUACCUCUACAUUACUAAAUAUGUAGAUUCAGUGUAUCUAUCAAUUCCAUCAUGAAUAAUCUUCUUCUUAUUACAAUAUACUAUACAUUACUAAAUAUAUGUUCAUUCUUUGCAUUACUUGAAAUUCAAGUAGUACCCAGACUCAGACAAUUUAGGACCCCACAACAGAUACAUAUAUGUCAACUGAGCAAUCAUUAUUGUUGGUGUAUGUCUUCUAAAACCAAUUGAUUGUUACACACUAAUGUGAAAGUGACAUGCCUUUCUACUUUUCUUUCCUCAUUUUUCUGUUUAAGUUUUUUAGUUACUGAUAAAUGAUAAAUAAAUAAAUAUGCCUUUCACAUUUCUUAGUAUGGUAUGAUAGUAUGAUACUUAUAUAUGGUUAAUUAUCUCUUAAUUAAUUAAGCAGGUUAUUUUAUUAUUUUACUUAGGCUAAGGUUAAGGCUAAUCAAGCAUGAGAAAUGAAAGUGGUCAACAUCAUAUUCAUAUUCACAUUGCUUUAGUAGCUUUGCUCCUUUUUCCUGUAAACAGCAACAACACACACAUUUCUUUCUUGGCUUGAAUCAUGGCUCCUGCUAGAUCUGCCUACUGCUUAGCUGUAACCAUGUCCAACUUUUUCUUUUCCUCAUUAUUUAAUCAUGAAUAUAAUAGUAACAAUAAUAAUUACUCCUUUUAAUUUACUUGUGCUAUGCCUGUUUAUGUUUGUAGAUCAUAUUAGUAUUUUGUAAUAUGUAUUAUGCAGCAUAGCAGCCUUUUCCUCUUCUUUUUAAUCAUCAGUGCAUGCAUCAUCUUAAUUAAUUUUAUGAGAUUAUCAAAGAUUCAUAAUCCAAUCUUCAUCAUUAUUACAUUUCAAUGCUGCUUAUUAUACAUGCUAUAUGGCUCUAAACAUUUCAAAUGUAUGUAUUCAAUUAUUAUCAUUAUUAUUAGAUUAAUGUUGUUCAUCUAAGGAAUGUUGUGGUUAGAAAUGAUGACUUGAACUUGAACUUGACCCCACUAGGCUAGAGGAGCCACUUUACUUAUUCAUGUGACUUAAAGCCUUGUGUUAAGUGUUAACAACAACAACCUAGAUGAGAUGACAUGAAAUGAAAUGAAGCAUUAAAUAUAAAUAUAACAAAAAAAAAACACAACUUUUGGAUUUAAAGGCACUUAAUGAAAAUUCUAGCUGUGGCUCUCUCUGCAGACAGCAAGGCCCAUUCUUUCAUAUUUCUUUAAGUUUGGUUCUUCUGACAAGUCACAAGGUCAGGUUUAGUAGUAUAUAGUGUAUAGUACUCAAUAAGUUAGGCAUAAGGAUUCAUGGAAAUGGCAACAUAAAUCCAAAAGUGUAUCAUAGAUCUUUGUCUUUACAUAUUUUCAUAUUGCAAAGACAAGUGUGCUUUCCUUUCUUGCCUUAAAAGAUGGCUGCUGUCACCCUUAACAUAUUGGAAAACCAUACUUCCCUCUCAUCCAAAGGUAAGAAACUUACUCUCUCUUUCUCUCUCUGUCUCUGGUUGGUUUGCAUUGUUUCUGUUAACUACUUCUGAAUGCUUCUACUCUUAACAUAUUGUACAUUCUCUAUUUAAUCAAUUCCUCUCAUCUUUAUACCAUUUAUACACUGGUAGUCUUUUUGUUUUUGAGGUGUUCAUACAUACUAUUUAUUAUGUCUUUUUUAUGACUUGUGUGAAUGAUAUUGGUGAGUCAGAUUUAUAUAUUUGGUUUUUUAUCUCAGCCGUAGAUCAGUAUGAUGUGUACUUCACAAGUCACUAAAUGUGAAAGUGUUGUCUGUUUUUGUUUAUCUUUUGUUUCAGGAAAGAAUUUCUGAUUCAAACCAAGAUAGAUAUGUUUUUCAGAAGCAGCAUAGCCUCAUCAUCUCACAGAUAUUUGUGGUUGAUAUAAAAGAUAAAAAGAAAAGAUUAACACAAGUUAGUUAGUUCAGUGUUCUAUGUCUAGGAGCAAUUUAAACAGUGAAAAAACAAAGGGAUGGAACAUAUACACAGCAUCUGCAGCAGCUCCAUCAUCAUAUAGGGGAGUUGAUGAAGAAGCAGCAGCAGCAGCUCCAUGGAAGGGCUUUGGGACAUCCUCCAUGAGUGCUAUUUCUUUCGGCUUCGUUGCAACCGCCAUUUUGAUAUCAAUGUUUGUAAUAAUGGCCAUAUUUGAACACUUGUUCAAACCCUCUCCAACCCCACAUUCUCAUUCUACGGCCGCAACCGCCCCGCCUUGCAAACAGGGAACAAAUCCUCAAACUGUAAGUCUCUUUCAACAUCUAUGCAUACAAUUUACAUGUGAACGUGAAUGUGAAUGAGAAUGAGAAUGUGUAUGAACAGGUUGAAGCAUCUUUGUCAGUGUUGAUGCCAGGGCAACAAUAUCCAACUUACAUAGCUCAGCCUGCUCCUCUGCCUUCUUGUCCAAGAGAACAGGCAUAUUGGCCUUCUCAUGAUCAUAAUUUUCUAUUUUGUUAGAUCCUGCUAUCAACUCUAUUUAUGUAUUCUUAUCUGUGUUGAUUGUAUACACAGAGAGAUACUAGUAUAUAGAUAGGGUAUUUUACUAUUUAUUUAUAUAUCAAUUUGUAAGCCUGAGCCCUUCUUUCAUCUAAGUUGGUUUGAAAUUCCAAUAAAUACAGAAGCAAGCACCAAUCAAAACACCAUGUAAUGAAAAAAUAGCCACCAACCAUGUAUCAUUGGAACAUUGACAAUAUCUACUGCAAUGAAAGGAUGAAUUAGCGAAUCCCAUAGUUGUAUAUAUUUUCUCAAUGAACUUAGAUUCAUAUAUAUAUAUUUUCCGUGUCUACACAUUAAUUUCUAAAAGUGAAUUCAUCCAAUGGUAUUUUUGAGCAAGUCAUUCUUGUUGGACUGUGAAAAUCUACAAUUAAAGCAGAGUGAAAAUAGAGUAAGAGGGUAAAGCAGUGGCAUUCCUCAAGUAACACAACAUUUGUAUCCCUACACAUCAUUUCAAUGAACUCCUUGAUUACCAAAACCGCCAACUUUGUUGGAGAUAACUUCACUUCCCUCCUUGAAAGCGAAGGCCGGGCCCGAACAACAGAAAGAAUUAGCUACUGAUCAUCCAACAUUUCUUCAUCCGGUAACGAUAUAGUUAACAAAGAAUACCUAACUCUCAGAGAGAUCCUGCCCUUCUCAACAGCAAGUCUAGCUCCAGACACAACCCAAUAGCCUGGAGUUUCCUGUGGCCCUCUGGUCAUCUCGGUUGUGUCGACAAAUUUGAGAAGCUUGGGAGCUUGAACAGGAACAGGAGGACCACCCGGAUAAACAGCAGAAUUUAUGUUAACAUCUGCGGGUCGUGGAGGUGGCUUCUGAAAUGUUGCUGUGAAAUGCUGACUAAUGAGAGUAGAUAUCAGUCCAGACUUGGCUCCCAGUCCAGGAGAUCCAUCCCACUCGGGAUGCUUUACUUCUUUAACUCCUAGUACGGUUGCGAAUCGAAGUCUCAGAAAGAGUAUAUUUUUUAUGCCAUAAUUCUCAACUUGGAGUUGUGCUCCGGUUACUAUGGAAACUUCAUCCUCUGGUUCCACAGGAGAAGUGCACACAUGAGAGAAAUUCUUCCACUGAACUUUCUCAUAGAAUCUCUUAUCAUAGGACUCGCGCCGAAAGUUGCCAUUUGGAUCAUCUUCGAGCUGAAAUACUUUUGGAAGAGAUGUAAGGUGUUGUAAAUGGAUUGCCAGACGAUUACUCUUUUUACCUUCAAGAUAAAGACGAAGACCAGUCACUGGUCUGUUACCUACGUCAACCUGUUAUAACAUGAAAAGAAAUUCUUCUUUUGAGCCCAAAAAUUACUGAGUUACCAAUAUAUAAUUCAAGUUGAGGAUGCAUUCAAAGGAACUAUCUGGUAUAAUAAACACCCAGUUUCCACUUGAGGCAAAAUAAAACAAAAGAAUGUCGAGCACAAACUUCAGAAUGUCCAAGUUAGAAAAUGCUGUGUUAAUGAAUGGUAACAAUUGAAUAAUUUAAUAGCAUAAUCUUAAAACAUAAACAAGAAAGGAUGCAUAUCUUGUUUAGCAAAACUAACCAAACACAAUAAUCACUCCAUGCUAAUAAAGAUAUAAAACUACUACACAUCCUAAAAGUCAUUUCACACAGAUUUUCCUGUCACACUUUUUAUUUUGUUUCCCAGCUAAUUGCUAAAUAACACCAUCCAAAGGGCAUGAACGUGGAUUUCUUAGGAUCAGAGGCACAGCCAAGAAAUAGCUAGAUGUCCAGGGCCAAGAAGGAAAAUGUUUACCUGUGAUGUGUUCACAUAUAGCUUUGGCCCCAUGAAGCUAAACUGUAAAGAGGAAAAACUCCGUUGUUUACGUUGUGGACCAAGAGGAAGUUCGCUGAAUACAGGAGCCCACUGCCUUGGCAACUGGAAUUCCAAGAACUGGUGAAGCUCUUCAAUUGGUGGUUUAUCUGCAAGAAUCAAUGUAAAAUGAGACACUUUUUUUUCCCAUUUAUUAUAAUUCUAGGCAGAAUAAAAAACUAAAAUAAACACUCAAAAAGCUAGGUAGCAUAAAGAUUUCUCCACCGGAAUAUCAUUUGGAUAGGGGUUUUAUGUUAGUUAUGUUUUAUUCAAAGCCCACCAAAUUAAGAUCUAAAUUCAAGAAAAACUUCAGCAUGCAAAGAAAUUGAAAUACUCCACUUCUGUUCAGGUGGCAUGUAAUUAUUUCUCCCUUACACAACCAGCAAGAAACUAGUAAACAUGUUUAAAAACCACACCAAGAGCCAAGAGCAUUUGCACUAAAAACGAUAUCCAGUUAAUACAAGAAUUAUACUUGCAACAUCUAUAAGAAACACAAAAAUACUAAGACAAACAUUUCUUAUCUUAUUUUAUUUUUGGAACAAAGAAUAAUAUUAAGACAAGAAGAUGAAAGACAAGAAAUCCUCCUAAAGAGAAGAAUGAUACAACGAAAGAAAAAAACUAUGACGUAAAAUAUGAGAAAUGCACUCUAGGCCAGGAAUAUGCACACAUUAAUGUCUGUGGAGAAUAGAUGCAGUCAUGCGGAUAUUGAGAUAUGAAAAUGCAACAAUAGAACAAAAUUUUCUCACAUCUUAAAUAAAGAUUUAUGGCAUGGCUCAAGAAUCCGCUCCCUGGAACUCCAUUCAAGAGAGAUGUGAUUGGAAUGAAGGACAUUGAGAUAACAUCAGGCUCUAACUGAACAGUCUGUAACCACUCGUUGUGGGGUAGGCUUCUGUUAUCACUUCCACCCCUCCUCUUGCAAGUGAAUAUUAUGUCCUGCUCUAAAAGUAAUUUGAGGACAAUGUACUAAAAUAAGUGUUUGAAACCAGGAUAGAACCAUAUAAUACCGAAGAGUAAUGAUAAUAUCAAAACUAAUCCUAAGGGAGCGUAUUUGAUACUCUUUGAUAUAAUAUGAUUCUAUCCUUGUUUCUAACAAUAACAAUAACUGCCAAAAAUAUUGUCAAGGGUAAUGUUCAAUGCAUACCUCCUUAUGCGAAUAAGAACUUGAUGGACUCAUAUUAGCGAAUGUUACUAUCCAUUUCAAUGGGAAUUAAUUAAAUAUCCUCCAAUUCAAAGUUGUCAAGAGAGAACAUCACAAAGAAUAUCAUCAAUACAACCAGUUUAACAUAAUGACUACAACUCACAAACUUAGCAAAAAGUAAUAAUUUAUUUGAGUAAUGAUACUUAAACAAACAAAUACUCCUCACAUCCUCCAGCCAAGCCAUAGCAUAACACCCUGAAGAUUUUGAAAGUAUCUUUCUUCUAUUUAAUAUUUUUUAAUAAUCAUGAUCCAUGUGGCAAACCAUAUGGAAAAAAUGCCACAGUACAAUGUUAAUGCUUUUGCUUUCAUAUUCUCACUAAAAAUAUCUUGUGAAAUAAAAGAGAUCUAUUUAUUAACAACCUUAGGUUAGAAAUUUAUAUCAGACAAAAGGCAACAUGCAGUUUUCUUUCCUUCUUUUUUUUUGGGUGUGCCACCGGGGGGAAGGGGGUGGUUAACCACACCAGUGGAAUAAUAUCUAUAUUGUGAUAGUGCUAAGUUACUACAAAGAUCAAAGGUAAAAAGGUAAUAGAAAGAUGCAAAAAAUGACUUCAACUAUUCUAAUUGUAAACAAAUCAUGAAAAAAAUGCAUAAAGUUAUUCACAAACCUUUUCAUUUGGGAAAACUUGAUCUGAAGCAAUUGUAUAUUGGCCAGUAGCAUCCAUAAAUCUCCUAUCUGCCAUCUCUUUCAGUCUUUUUUGAACAUCAGCAGGUUGGAGAGCUGAUGAGUGCUGCUGCUUCAAAUAUAUUACAUCCUUUCCUCCCAUUUUCAUUCCAACAACAAUAUGGGUACCAAAGGUCUCAAUAAAUCUGUGACAUUGCGAAUGGAACUAGUUGGCUAUUGUUUCAACUUUCAAAUGAAAAUAUAGUUAAAGAUAAAUAAAAACAAUUAUCAUAAUAGAACUAAGUUAUUUUUUUGGAGAGUCAGUCCAAGUUGCACCCUGAAGUUAGUCUCAAUGUGUAACUUAGAGAUUACAAACUAAAUGAUAAGAUGACUACAGAUCCAACUCAAUCCUAAUUUGGUUAUAACCAUCUAUCCAUUUAUAUAUUAUUGAUUUAACUGUAGGUAAACAUAAAAAAUAGAGACAAAUAUGCCAUCAUAAACAAGUCCAAUCAAAUGAAGCCCACCACCAAAAAUGCACAGCUGUAUGCAUGCAUUGACAUAGUUUUAGCAUUAUCACCGAAAUAUAAAUCCCAACACAAAUAAUUUGGAAACCCCUCGAUGGAAUUGAUAAGGAUUUAUAUCUAUUCAGCUACAACUAAAUUUCUUUCUAUCUUAUAGAUACAUAGAAUCUUAAUAUAAUGAAAGCCAAAGGCCCAUGAAACCUAAAACCAUUAAAAGGUUAAACAAUAUAAUAGGAAGCGAUAAAAAAUGUCCAAGAGGUCAAAAUUAGAAUUCAAACAAUACCAUUUUGUUCGGCAUCAAAAUUAAAAAAGUUUUACCAUUUGAGAGCUUGUUUUACCUUGCUAAUUCAGGUGGGUCCCAAUAUGGUGGUACAGCCUUUUUAACAUGAUCACAGAGUACUAACUGAGACUUCUCUAAUGCAACAGUGUAAAGUGUGAUUAACACCCCGUCAAAAGCAAGGGUUUUGGUAUGGGCUGCAUCUUUCUGCCAACUCCCAGAAAAUUCAAACAUAGCAUUGAAAAGGCCUGACGGAAUUUUACCAGUCAAAGAUAAUUCCCGAUUGAACUGCUCUGACAUCUGAAAACAAUUAAAAGCACACAGAUGAGGGGGAGAUAACGUAUGCAAUUCUUAAUGAUUGAAAUUUUGAGACAAAUAAACUUUUAUAUUUUGCUCUGUUCCUUCUUAAAGCACUCAGAAAUGCAAUUCAAACCAUGACCAAAAAAAAAAAAAGAAAUUCAAUACAACGAAAUUUAGAAAUCACAUAGAUUCAUAAUCCAAAGAUGACAUACACCGAGUUAUAUAUAUGCCACAUGAUCCAAUGAGGGAAUAUAGUGAUAUUACAUAUGACAAGAAUUGAACCCCAAGACCUUUUGCAUGGACAUAGAUCAAUCUUAUCAGUUGAGUGACUACUCACUCGUUGGCUUUGGCCACUAAUUGUGAAUACACAUAAGAAAUGAAUAAUGUCACAUUAAAGGGCAACCCAGGGCACAAGCACUCCGCAUUAACGCAGGGUCCGGGAAAGGGCCGCAUCCAAAGGGUGUAAUAUACGCAGCCUAACCUGAUAAUUACAUCAAUGGCUAUUUUCAUGGCUUGAACCCCUGACCUUGAGGUCACGCGGAGACAACUCAACUGUUGCUCCAAGGCUCCCCUUCGAAUAAUGACAUAUUACAGCACAAUUUUUUACCAGUAACGACAAUAACAUUCUGCAAAUCUGAGGCUAGAGUAAUAACAAUCCUAUAUUUCAGUUUAUUCAAAACUAAAGUUGGUGGUAGUUAAAUAGGUUGCUAAUUUAUUUAUUGACCCAUCUAUCAUCUAAUAUCCAUCAGAGAAGGAAAGUUUAUUCCAAAGAAGAAACAAAAGGAAAAUCUGACUUCCAAUAAGCAUCCAGAAAAUUCAUUCAAGCAACAGUUAUUUACAGAAAAAAACGAAAUUUUACCUGUUGAAAGGACAGAACAUCAGACCUGAAUCUAGUGCGUUCCCCUUUAUCACAUUUUAUAGAUGUGGAAACAUUUGGAAUUGAAACUCCACCCGGUAAAACCACCUCUCUCACAUCAAGUUCAUCGAUCUCAAUUAAACGUGAAUUUAUGGAAUCUCCUUUGCAAUACUUGAGCCUUAGAUCAGUAGAUAUAUCAUAACCACGGCCAAUGGACCCAAUUGCAAUCUCAGCAGCUUUAUUAGCUGGAACUUUAAGUGCCAUAUCUCAGCGCAACGCAUCACCUCUCAGUCAAAACCAAAUUCCACACUUUAGCAUAUUCAAGCACACACCACUCAGUUCAACUUCAAAAAAAUGGAAACCUGUGACAUAUGAAACGCACAUAAAUGUGAGAUAUGACCAAGUAACCCUAAAAGAAAACCGAUAGAAUUGAGAGAUUCGGUGCCCCACCGAUUCCAACACAUGCAGCAUUCUUAGUCAGAGCUUGUAAUUUGCAGCUUCAUACGUGCAUGAGUACGGUGCUUGAAAGCUUAUCACUAUUUCUGUGCUUGACCAUUAAAGUAGAGGUGGUAAGCUCGAUGGCGAAUUGGCGUUAAGGAGCAGUAAUGCGUGGGAUUUCGAAACCCUAACGUAAAGAAUGGAUUUUGAGUGUGAAAUUGAGGGAUAGAGGGAGAGAAAUGAAACCUAUGAGGAGAGAGAGAAGGAGAAGGAGUGAGAAAGCUUGGAGCUUUGGCGUUGGUGUUGGUGUCAACUUUCAAGUUUGAAGUUUCAACAUUCAACUGCAGAUUUUGUGGACUCAGACAACUUUGAGUUUGUGUCUUAAGUGUAAAAGAAUUUUAUACAAUUAAUUAAUUAGAUAAUUAGAAUAAAUGACUAUCUGUAUUCAUAAAAGAUGAAAACACUGAACAUAUGUACUCAUACUAAAUCGAAAUUAAAUUUGUAUUCACGCAAGAUUCUUGUCGUGUGACAAAAGUACCCUAGGUGGCACUCCAAUCUUCCAAAGACAGGUACUUUUGUCACACGGAAGACAUCUUGCGUGCGUGAAUAUAAAUUUAGUUUGGAUUUAGUGUGUAUAUAUGUCAGUGUUUUCAUCUUUCAUGAGUAUAAAUGAUAAUUUAUUCUAUUAUAUUAUUAAGAGUAAUUUUUUAUUUUGUAUUACUAAUGUUUGAAAUUUCAAAUAUUUAUAAUUUUAAAGAGGACAAAAAAUAAUGAAAUUGACUUUCUAAAUUUUAUACAAUAAUUAAAUUAAUGUCUCAAUUUCAUAUUUAUUAAAUUAAUUCCUUGAUUUUGAACUAUCUAUGUUGAGUUGUUGACAAAUCAACCACAUUAUUAAAUGUCAUUAAUUAAGCAAGUUAACAUGAAAAAAAAAGUGUUUCAAUGAAAUUGGUUUCUUUUUUCAGGAAUAAAUUUGAUCAUGUGAUGAAAGCUAAUUUAAUUGUUAGUUCUAUUUACCAAGUAGAUUAACAAAUAUUUUUUCAUUUUUAUUCACUUUUUUUUUUCUAUAAAACCCUUCUAUAUGUAUAUAUUCUUAUCAUGUGCUGUGAAACCCCAUUGCUAUAAAAAGUCAUACAAUUUGUGUCUUGUUUUUCAAUGAUUUUUAACCCCACACUAUAUAUGUUAGAACAUUGAAACGGUGCACUGCACUAUGUGUUUGGAUAAUUUCCGUCAAAAUUAAUUUCGCCUUCCAACCUAAGUUUGGGGUUUUAAAUGUAGAAGAAAAUAUUCAAAACCAAUUUUACCUUAUGCCAUUUCGGUGGUACUAGUUUCUUAACAUGUUGUACUAAAAUUUUAAAAGGUAGUGUGAAUAGAUUCCAUGGCAGUCCACAAUGAUUUGGUGAUUAUGGCUUUAAAAAGUUGGGACUUUGGGAUCCACCGUCCACGUGUUUAAUAUAAUUUGUAAAAAACAAUGAAGAAAAAAUAUUAGUAAAAUAGUAAAAGAAAAAGAGUCAGUUCAAAAAAAAUUUAUAUUAGUGAAUGAUAAUUCUGUAAUAUACUUUAUGAAUGAUAUAGUAAAAAAAUAGGUUAAUGCAGUAUUUUUCAGUAAAUAAUCCAUCAGUAUAAGUAAUGAAAAAAAUAUCAGAUUAUGUAAUUAAUCUAAUUAGUAACUUAUUCUUUAAAAAAUUUCAACGGUUUAUAUUAGUUCUCCAAAAAAAAAUAAAUUUUUUUAUAAUAAAAAUGAAGUAAUAUUAAUUAAUUUGUUAAAUUUAUUGAUUUAGAGGAGUAUUAUUUGAUAAAAUGGUAGCUAGCGUCGGCAGUUGAGAAUUCACAUGAGGACAUGUGAGUUCCAGUACCAAGGCUUUUCCUUCAUUGCACUCUGAUCUUACUGUAACUAUGUAUCACCACCACACAUUAUGUAGAGAAACACAAAUAAUUAUCAGGAUUUUUUGUUUUUGACUAUUAUUUUAUUAUUUAUUUAAUUUUUUUAAUUUAAUAAUUUAAUAAUAUAUUUUAUUUUAUAUUUUUUAAAUAUUAAUAACUAAUUAAUAAUAAAAAAUAAAUUUUGAUGGGCGUGCGUCUAACAUUCUUACAUUAUUCAUUCUUAUUUCAUUGUUUGUUGUUAGUAGUUGUUAGUUACCAUAGUAAUUUUCGCGAAUAAAUAAUCAUUUGUAUCCAUAAAAGAUGAAAACGCUGACAUAUGUAUUCAUACUGGAUCGAAACUAAACUUGUACUGUACAAGAUGCUCUCCGUAUGACAAAAAUAUCCUGUCUUUGGAGGGUUGGAGUACCACGUAGAGUAUUUUUGUCACACAAAAAAUAUCUUACAUAGGUACAAGUUUAGUUUCGAUCUAAUAUAAAUACAUAUGUCAAUGUUUUUAUCUUUUAUAGAUACAAAUAGUCAUUUAUUCUAAUUUUACCUACAAUCAUAACCCAAAUCUAUCUCAGCUCAUGUUAUUAUAUACACACAUGCAUCCACACACGUAUGCAAUUUGAGUCAAGUAUUUUCUUCUCAAUUGAAUUACUGCCCCCACAUUCCUCGCUUGCUGUUUCCUAUCACUUUCUUUCUUUCUCUCUCUCACAAUCACAAUGAACAACAACGCUGGGUAUUCUAAAAUAAGUAGUGCCCACAAAUCAAGAUCUAUAGAUUUCUCAUCAGCUGCCAAUAACGGAGGAGGAGAGAAAUUUGGUGUGAUAUUGGGAAGGACUGGUUCAGUUUCUUCUUCUGGCGGGUUUCUCAAGAAGGCAUUCUCAAUGAGAAGAUCUUCAUCGGUUUCAGAGAGGUACUGUAGGAUCCAUGACCACCAUUACGUGGCAAUAACAUCACCGGAAAGUGAUGUUCCGGUGAGGGCAAAGAAGAAGCACAGUUCUGGAAGGGAAGGAAGCAAGAUCUUUAAAGCUUGUAAGCGUCUUCUUGGACUCUAGUAGUGCUCUUUUGAAACCUACAGAAAUGUUAGAAGAAAAAAAAAAAAAAGAGUCAAAAUUUAUCUUAUUUAGUAUUUAUUAAUUAUCGCAACGAUUAAUAAAUUUUAAAUAAAAUAAGUAAUAAUUAUUUUUGGCUAAUUUUUUUUUAGUUAAUAAACAUUUUCGGAGACGUACCUACAACUUUAUUUAUCAUAUAAUCAUUUCAGUAAUGUUAAGUACGUAUCUAUUUAUGUAUAAUUUUGGCAAACUGCGUAUUUUAUUGCUUUCUUUAGGAAAAAGUAGAUUUACGACGACUUUCAUUUAAACCUGCGCUCAAUAAAUAAUUUUGAUUUGCCGAUAGUUUGUUAAAAGGUACAUUUGGUAAAAUUGAAAGGAAUUAUUAAGAAAAGAAGAUGUAUGUUAAGUAUUAAACUACUUUUUCACCUUAGCGUAUGACAACAAUAAAGACGUCUCAUGAUCCACAAAUUCAGCUUCUCAGACUCUGAUUGGGCCGGAUGUCGUGACACUCGGCGAUUUAACAGAAGCAGAAUAUCGUGUACUUGCCAACAUAAGUUGUGAACUUCAAUGAAUAUUAAAUGUGUUACAAUUUUUACGCAUCUUUCCUAUCCGCCCACCAGUUUUAUAUUGUGAUAAUCAAAGUGCGCUCUUCAUAUUGCUGCUAACCCGAUUUUUCAUGAACGGACCAAAUAUUUAGAGGUUGAUUGUCACUUGGUUCGACAAAAAUUUAGUCUUUAUUGUUGUCAUGGCUAAGGUGGAAGAGUGGUUUAAUAUUAAGAAUUUUAAUUUGUAUGUAUGAAUAAAUAUUGUUAUGGUAGCAUAUUAUUCAAGCAACACCUGCUGCUGCCAUGUGCUGUUAAGGCACGUGUGCUCUGUCUUAAUCACUCAAGACAUAGUAAUAUUAAUCAAAUACCUAUGUAAUUUUUAUUCAUUUGAUAAAUUUAAAUAAAUAUUACUACUGAUAUAACAAAUAAUACUAGGGAGAUGAUAAUUAAAAAUUACUAAUUAAAUUAUUUAACACAAUAUAUGUGCAACAUUUUAAUUAUGGAUAGCUAAUAUAGAAUUAUAGAUGUAUAAAUAAUAGGCUAUUCCAGUCUCUAUUUGUGAGAGUAAUCAAUUUGGGUGGGCCAAAUAAUUAUUCGAAUUUUAUUUGUGCAUGUAAUAAUUUAGGUGAAAAUUCAGGUACAGUCAACUUCACGUGAAGUUGAUAGUUAAAAGCCGUUAGAUAGUUUAACUGAUUUGACUAAUUUUUCAUCUAACGACUUUCAACUAUCAACUUCACGUAAAGUCGACUGCACCUGAGUUUCUACCAAUAAUUUAUUGAUUGAUAAUAAAUUCUUAAAUAAAGUUUAGAUUAAUCUUUUAUCAUAUUGGAUUAAAAAAUAUUGUGAAAAAAAAAAAAGGAUAAUGCAAGAGAGAUAUUCAAAUUGAAUUCCCUCACAAAAAAAGGAUUGAGCGGUUGAUGAAAACGCGAAUAUAGGAGCAGCGAAUAACUGCCUCAAAUCGAACACCCUCAAUUAGAAACUUGCUUCUUAUUCCCAAAUCGAAUCAUUCUUCUUUCUCCGUUUUCAUUCCACUUUCUUUUCGUCUUUUGAUUUCUUCCAUUCUCCAAAUCAAAUCGAUUCCACUGCGUUUUCCAAAGCACGCGCACAAUUGAUUGUUUGGUUAAUAUACUGAGAGAAGGAACAAUCGACCAUGGCGGGAGAAGGAGGCGAUGUUAGCGUUGCUAACGGCGCUGAUGAAACAGCAAACCCGGAAUCCGCAGCCUCCUCUCCAAAGAGCAAGGUCAAGUUCAUGUGCAGCCAUGGUGGCAAGGUUCUUCCCCGUCCCUCCGAUGGCCUCCUCAAGUACGUCGGCGGCGAGACUCGCGUCGUUUCUGUCCCUAGGAACGUCACUUUCUACGGUGAGAACACUUGAUUCACGAAAUCCCAAAAUUCCGUGGAAUAGGAAAACCUAACAUAUGUCACGCUUGUUUGUUUCUUUUAGAGUUGAUGAAGAAGCUGCAUGGAAUGAUCGAAGGAGGAGAAAGCAUGGUGCUAAAGUAUCAGCUGGUGCCGGAAGAUCUGGACACACUGGUAUCGGUGAGGAACGACGAGGAUCUAAAGCAUAUGAUUGACGAGCAUGACCGUCACGAAGUUGGAGGAGCUCCCAUGCUGCGGACAUUCAUGUGCCCGUUGAAGCCGCUUUUGGUGGUGGACAAAGAUAACCAAGGAACAUCAGGGACUGAGCCCUACCCCUUGGAGCAGCGCUACAUUGAUGCCAUUAACGGCUUCCAGCGCAUAAGCCCAAGGUCAAGGCCUAGUCCAAUUAGGGCUGCAUUCAACGCCCCCUCUGCCUGUUCAUCCCCCAAAUCCAACUCCCCAGACGGUCACACUACGGAUCUGGUCCACGAAUCGCCGCCCUUCCACGGCCACAUUCUCGGUCUAGGCCGCCGUAGCACCAUGCAUAGAGUGCACAGCUCUCCCAGCAUUUCUAGCCUAAGCAACCUUCACAGCCUUGCCUUUCAACAGCACGAACACCAUAACCAUUAUCACAAUCAUUCUCCGAGCCACCAGAGCCCGUGCCAGAGUCAGAACCAGGGCCAGAGCCAGGGUCAGGGCCAGGGCCAGAACCAAGGUCACCAUCCUCCUGCUCAUCUGCCUGCUUCUUAUCAAAGAACCGGGCCACAAGAUCAAUUAGUUGGGAUGGGAAGGCCGCCGCCGCUUUUGGCGCUGAGGAGGUCGGAUAUGGGUAGCCGGAGUGCAAAUAGUAGUAGUAGUACUUUCAACUAUUAUUAUCCGGCUACUAAUAAUAAUAAUUGCAGACCCCCAAAAGGGUACGGAUACUACGAUGAAUCUCCAGCAUACGGUGGUGGCAUGGGUGAAAGAGUUGGUAGUGUGCCUCAGAGUCCUAGAAACUCUAUUUGGGAAUAACUAAAGCCAAGUCUGUACAGUUUCCUCCCUUGUUCUUGUGUAAAGGCUUUUCAUUUCAUUUUUCUAUUGUUUUAUUUAUAGGAAGACAACCUAAGCUAGAAGGAAUUUUUGCUGGGGAACGUUAAUUGUAAAUACAGCUUUGUUUUCUGCAGUACAAUAUUAAUUUCAUUUGUAAAUACAUCUAAGCAGUAGUUCACCAUAUUUUAUUCUCUCUAGAUUCCCUUCCCUAAUCAAACAGGGUCUUUUAACCGUAAAGGGCGCACAUACGCUCUGCGGAGGAACAGAGCAAAACACCACCGUGGCACCAUCACUCCACUCUCAAUUCAAACCCAGCACAUGAUUACAUGAACCAUGAUAACCUUUAGUUGUGAAGAUCGCUGAAAACCAAAACAGGUUUCAACCGUUACACCCAAAACAAAAGCUCGUUUUUACAUAUACAAUUAAACCCGCAAGCUAAUCGUGUUACAUUACAGCAUACUGAAUAGACACUAUCAUUCAACAAUACCAAGGAAGGCAACGAAAUGAAAUAAAAAUCUAUUAUUUAUCUAAUCUUGAAUCAACAAGGAAUUUUUACGACAUUUUCGGCCUGUAAAUACCAUAAAUUUUUUUGGUGACUGUAAAUACCAUCCUCGAAACUGUAUUUCAUAGCCAAAAUUUCCAAGAGGUACAACGCGAACUAUCAAUGAGAACCUAUAAAAACCCGUGUCUAACUUUAAAUUGAAACAGACACCCACUCUUCCAUUGACAAAAAUCACUACAAAUUCAGCACCAAAAAUAAAAAAAAGCUAUUGGAUAAUCCGUCUUACUCCUCACUUAGAGUCUGUAAAAUCAGCAUCGAUCACAUCUCCAUCUGUUCCCUUGCCCGAUGAUUCUGUGGGGCCACCAGAUUCAGGUGCAGCAGGGCCUGCGCCUGCAGCUCCUGGCUGGUUGUAUAGGGACUGGCCAAGUUGCAUAACUUCCUGGUUGAGAGCAGCCAUGGCAUCCUUAAUGGCCUGGGUUGAACCACCCGAAAUUGCAUCUUUAAGCUCUCCCAAUUUUGCUUCAACCUUCUCCUUCACGGGGCCAGGAACCUUGUCUCCAAGCUCUUUCAACUGCUUCUCAGUCUGGUACACAACUGAAUCCGCCUGGUUCUUGGUGUCAAUAGCAUCUCUCUUCUCUUUGUCCUCCUUUGCAAAUUUCUCCGCUUCCUUUACCAUCCUAUCUACCUGCAUUACAUUACAUUCAAGCCAUGUCAUUCAACCUUCUAACUUAUAAUUAAUGUUAUCUUAAUAUUGGAAAGUUUUUCAUUUUUUAAAAAGAUUAAAAAAAAACCCAAAAAGAGGAGGUUGGCAAAUGGCAACAAUACCAAAAGGAUAAAUUCAGUUCCAUUUGUAGUUCAAAUAUGUAAUUAAUUUACCUCGUCAUUAGGCAAGGUGCUAGCACCAGUAAUUGUAAUAUCUUGUUUCUUGCCUGUGCCCUUGUCUAUCGCAGUAACUGAGAGAAUACCAUUGGCAUCAAUGUCGAAUUUGACUUCAAUCUGAGGAACCCCACGAGGUGCAGGAGGGAUACCAUCCAAACGGAAGCUACCAAGAGAUUUAUUGUCCCUGACAAAUUCUCUCUCGCCCUGAAGCACAUUGAUCUCCACACUGGUCUGUCCAUCAGCAGCUGUUGAGAAGACCUCUGAUUUCGAGGUGGGAAGAGUAGUGUUUCUUGGGAUAAUCUUUGUCAUUACACCACCAAGAGUUUCUAGACCCAAAGACAAUGGUGUAACAUCCAACAAAACAAUGUCACUGACAUCACCAGCCAAGACACCAGCCUAACAUAAAUUGAAAAAUUCAGAAGACAUCAGUCAGAAUCUAGCCAACAUGGUACCCAGAAAACAAUUAUCAUGCAUAACACAUAAUUCUUGCACCAAACCCACCCCGAAAACUAAAAAUAAAAAGAAUCAACCUCCCAACCAAAAAUAAUCAAGUUGAAAAUUUUCUCAAGAAAACAGCAAGAUCCAACCUGAACUGCAGCACCAAGGGCAACCACUUCAUCUGGAUUGACAGUGACAUUUGGGUCCUUCCCAGUCAUCUUCUUUACAAGCUCCUGGACAGCAGGGAUACGUGUUGAUCCACCCACAAGAAUCACCUCAUCAAUAUCCUUAAUAUUGAGCUUUGCAUCUCUCAAUGAAUUUUCAACUGGGGUCUUUAGCCUGUCACAGAAUUCAUGCAAGUAUCAUCAUUAUACAAGAUUAUACAUCAUUAUACAUGAUACAUGAGUAUUUUUGCUGCAUUUUAGAUAUGGAGCAUCAAGAAGGUUUGUCAUUUUGGGGGGAAAAAAGGAUUUAGCUAUCAUUACCUAUCAAGAAGAUCUGAACAUAAUUCUUCAAAUUUAGCCCUUGUAAGGGUGGUCUCAAUAUGCUUGGGGCCAUCUGCUGUAGCGGUUAUGAACGGCAAACUGAAAACAUACGAAUCAAUAUCUCAGUUUUAACAAAGCAAGGAAAGCACAUUCAAAAAACUAUUAGCUUGGCUGGAGACUGCUCCGAGAAGAAGUAAAAUACCUGAUGUUUGUUUGGGUCAAUGACGAGAGCUCCAUUUUUGCUUUUUCAGCUGUCUCAGUAAGGCGCUGAAGAGCUUGUUUAUCUUUCAAAAGAUCAAUACCUUCAUCCCUCUUGAAGUUUCCAGCCAACCAAUCGACAAUUCUCUGCAGCCACACGAUAAUAACAUGAAACAUUUAGAUAUAAUACAUUAUACAGAACAAAAAAACAAUAACUUAUCAUGCUAAAAUAGAAUGGAAGAAUUCCAACCUUAUCAAAGUCAUCACCACCCAAGUGUGUAUCUCCAGAAGUAGACAACACUUCAAACACUCCAUCACCAACCUCAAGCACUGAACCAGAGUAAAAAACAAAUGAAUACAGGUAUCAACACAACUAUUUUAACAAACAAGGGACACCAGAAUUGUGUUGUUUUCCAUACCCGAGACAUCAAAAGUACCACCGCCAAGGUCAAACACAAGGAUUGUUUCAUUAUUCUUCUUUUCAAAUCCAUAGGCAAGGGAGGCAGCAGUUGGUUCAUUUAUGAUACGAAGAACUUCCAAACCAGCAAUCCGACCAGCAUCCUUUGUAGCAGUCCUUUGAGAAUCGUUGAAGUAAGCAGGCACAGUGACCACGGCCUUUGUUACUUUGUCAUUCAAAAACUUUGAAGCAUCAUCCACAAGCUUCCUCAAAACCUAACACCCAAAAAAUGCCCCAAAAUCACUCACGGAACAUGAACCCUAUUCUAUGGCAUGCAACACUAUCAGCACAAAUUGAAGAAAAUAGACAAAAAAAAAAAAAGAACCGAAAAUAAUGAAAACCUGAGCGGAAAUCUCUUCGGCGGCGAACUGCUUGCGGAUGACGGGACAUUCGAGUUUGACAUUGCCGUUCUCAUCCCUAAUGAUGAAAAAAAAAAAAAAAAAAAAAAAAAAAGAAUCGAAGAGGAAUAAUGAAAACCUGAGCGGAAAUCUCUUCGGCGGCGAACUGCUUGCCGAUGGCGGGGCAGUCGAGUUUGACAUUGCCGUUCUCAUCCCUAAUGACUUUGUAGGAGACCUGCUUGGACUCCUCGUCCACCUCCGACAUCUUCCUUCCGAUAAACCUCUUAACGGAGAAGAAGGUGUUCUCCGGGUUCACCACCGCCUGCCGCUUCGCAAUCUGGCCAACCAGCCUGUCGCCGGUCUUGGUGUAGGCAACGACGGAAGGGGUAGUCCUCUGACCCUCGGCGUUAGUGAUGAUGGUGGGCUUGCCUCCUUCCAUGGCAGCCACGGCGGAGUUGGUGGUUCCCAAAUCGAUGCCGACGACCUUCUCAUUGACGACUCUGAGAGGACCAACGUUGUAACCUCUGCGAGCGGCGGUGCUCCUGAGCUUGAGGAACGCGGAGCGCGGGAACGAUGAGGAGCUGAGCCUCUGGCCGAGGAACACCGUCCGGUGACUAUUUUGCUUCUUGAGGGAGGCACUGCCGGCGAAGGAUGGAGUUCCGAGACCGUGUAUCUGGGCGCUUGAAGAAGCCAUUUCUAUGGGAAAUCCCUAACCCGAACCCUAAUCUAAUUCUUCGAAGAGAAAGAGACACACAGGAUUUGGUGGAAGAGAAAUGGAUAGAAGAUAGAGCAGCAACAAGCAGCAACCUGGAAUGAGGAAGGGUUUGGGUUUUUGACGAGAGGAUGAGGGUUAUGCGUGCUGCCACGUGUACCUAUUCUAGAAUCAUCCUAUGCUUGCCCGUUGGAUUUUCGGGGCUCCAUUUUCCCUAUGUUUUGACCCGGCGAGGCUGGUGGGUAGGUUAGGUUCUUCAUCCAUGAUCCAUUCAUACUUCGUUAAUUGAACUGACUUUUAGCAUAGUCAUUUUGACUUUCUAAAGUAUUUAGAUUUUUAUAAAAUUAUAAAAUGAUUUAAAAAAACAUACUAUUUAACAAAAUAAUCUAAAUAUUCAAUCAACACUGGGUUAUACAGUUUAGUACAAUCAGAUGACCAUAUAAAAAGAUCUUUUAUAGCAAAAAAAAAAAUAAAAACCUUAUUUAUAUACUAUUUCAAUUUUCGGACUUCCUAGAACGGGAUCUGUCUAAAGAAAUAGGAUGAUUCUAGUAGCUUAUAUUCAUCACGCACACCUUAGUAGUAGAAUUCUCGGGAAGCCACAUGAACGAUGUGGUGAGGUGAACAAAUUGACAGGCAGAUUGCCAGGCCUUGGCAAUUGGCAUAAGUCCUUAUCAUUGUUGUAAUGUAGUGAAAUACCCUUCUCUUUUUCUCUUUGAUAAACUUUGUAUUUGCAUCUUAGUAUAUAUUAAGGCUUAUAAAAUUCUAUUCGAAUAUAGACGAGGAUGUCUUGUUUGGCGAGGCUAACAAGUUGUGUAGCGUGCGCUCUCUUUACUGCACAAAUUGUUCUCUAACUUCAACUUACGUAAUGAUGCAUACACCUACAUUUCUUUCUGACCUUGUUAGUAAAUUAAAUUUCCAUUUCCUAAAAUAAUUGACCUACUACCAUAUGCUAAUUUUUAGCUGAACAUAAGAAGGGAGAGACUUGUUAUGCAAAAUUAAAAGCUGCAUAAUUAACCAAUUGACCUUGAAUUUGAGCAAGCUAGUGACCAACUCCUUUUGUGAAUGAAUGAUGAAAAAAGGGGUCUCCAACAGGCAACAGCAACAACGUACGUGCCUCUUGGCGAUCACUUCUUUCUUUUUGAAGUUUCGGUCCCUUCCUUACUGGUUUAUCAACUUAGUUUUCAGCCCUUACAUUGUAUUAUUAAGUUGUAACCGCCUCGGAUCGGAUAGAUUAUUUACUUCCGUAAGUAUUAUUAUAAAGCAAAGCAAAACGGAAUUAAUGGAACCAUGAUCAUGCCCUCUCUUAACCUUCCAUUGUGAAGGCAACAUACUAGCACCACUUAAAAUAGCCAUUUCAAUAAUACAAUGGACAUGUAUUUGAAAAUGCUGAAAAUUUUAGUUUUAAUAUUUUUUAUUUGUAAAAUUGUUUUCUAAAGUAAUUAAUUUGUUUGAAUACAAAAGUAAUUUUCAAANNGGGGGGGGGGGAGAUUCUCAAACACAAGCCUGCAUGUUUAAAUGUUAGUCUAUAGUUUAUAGCACCAAAAGCGAAUUCCGAAACACUAUGCAAACCCAUAAAAUAAAUUAAGAAAGAAAAACUAAAAUAAAAACAUAAAAAAAUCAUAAGCAGCUAAUGACUCGCCAUUCAUACAAAAUUAUAUAAAGACCAUCAUUUUAUAUGCAUACCAUCAUGCUUCAUCCUGUGCCAGGCACCAAACAGGGCCUAAAAUAGUCGGAGCACCUGUAUUGUAUUGAGAUUUUUAUACGCAAAACAUUCUCUAAAGCAAGAAGAGAAAAGAACCCUCCUCCGACAAGAAAUUUAAAACGUUCAACUUUAUAUAUGAUAUAUUAUAUUAUCAUAUAAUAAUAUAAGGGUAAUCCUAGGAAUUUUCUGUGGCAUUAAUCUUUGUUUUUUCUCAGAUGCACCCGAUAAUUUACAGCCUGCUAGAGUGCUAGUACUGGGGAGAAAAAAGGAAAAAUAACUUGCUAGUUGUGCAAUGCCAUGAACAAGUUCUGCUUACGAGCAUGCUCUGGAAUAAGCCGACUGAUGACGUCAGGUGGUAUCCCUGAAAGUUCUGCAAGGAUCAAUACGAAGUCAGUAAGGUCGGGGCCAUGCAACACAAACAAAAUUUGAAAGAAUCCCCCAUGAGAGGAAAAACAAAAAGGUUUACUAUAGAAUAAUAAAACAAAAAAUCUUUACUUGUACCAUAAACAAUUCCUCAAUGAUCCAACCCCGAUUUUUUAUUCCUCAAUAGAUUACUAUGAUCACAUUGAUGUUGAGUUAUCGUUUAGAAUUUCAAAACUAGAUUGUGUUGAUCGAUAUUGUAGGUACCUUAACUUACCCUGAGGCUUAAAAUUAAACAGAGGUGGAAGUGGGCGACCAUUAGGAAGCCGGGUGUUAGGGUCCCUCAACUCAUCGAAGAAGGGAUGAAUGCAAGCUUCCAACUGCAGUGCCAUAAUAUGGACCAAAUAAUUCAAUUGAAGACGAAAAUAGAAAACAAGAACAAGAAAUGGAGAGUCCAAACUUACAGCAGUGCAUCGCAGAUUGGGAGAGUACUGAAAAAAUCUACAGACAAGGUCUACUGCUUCUGGGGGUAAACGUUUUUGAAAGACCUGUAAAUUAUGAUAUCAUUAGUUCAUUACUAAAUACUCCAUGCAAAUAAGAUUCCUUUUAACUACUGUAAGUUUUACCAAUACUCUUGCAUAUGCUCAAAUUGAAUAGCUACACACCAAACCACAUUACAGCUCUAAGAAUAUAGAUAUAGAUUCAACCCUGACAUUAAUGUAUAUUCCUUGAUCUAUGAUGUCUGAAUAUGUCACAACCAACUACAGGAAACCACAAUUAAGAAGCAUAUAACAAUUUUUAACAUCUAGCACUGUUGUACACUUCAAGCAUCUCUGAAAGUGACUAGAGAGCAUCAAUAUAGUCCAAAAUUGACCCUAAUCUAGUAUUAUCUCACAUGGUCCUUGAUAUUAAUCAAGGCUGAUCCAACCGUAUCCAUAUCAGGUCAAUAGCCCCGUGCAGCCACAUAUCAAACUCAGAGAGAAGACAGAUCCUAAAUUGACAGACAACUCUAUCUAGUGCCAUAAUAACUCAGGACGAUAAUGAUUUUGAUCAUACUACAACACGUGCAAUUAGACUAGAAGAUGGUGUACCCAUACAUGGAUCAAAUAAAGAAUAAGCGGUGAAGAUAGCACUGCAAAAAUGUAAGGAAAGCAGAGACCAAGUCCUGACCAUCAGUACCAAGUCACUACUGGCUUCAAAAUAUUUUUCUUGUUUCAAAAUGUAAUAGAGUAUAGCUGAUUAUUCUAUUUUAUCUUUUGAAAGAUUCCCCUAAUUAGGGAAGAUAUCCAGUGAAAAAGCAUGCAAAUGUUUUCAAAAGAAACAUGCCGCCGAAAUGUAACUUGGAGGAAGUAUCUAGUACAGGUAAAUGGUAAACUGUGGCCAAAAUCUAGCUAAUCCAGGCAAACCAUUAGCAUUAACAUACUGAACCUUGAUCCCAAAUUACCAAACGCAUUCACACUUUUACAGUGUAUUAAGAAUGAAAGUAAAGCACAUAGAGCCUGUACCUUGUGCCAUGGAUGAGGUUUUAUCUGUGGAAACUUAAAUUCAGUAUAAUUUGGGUUCAUGCAUUUUAUCUCCUCCCUUGUUGGAGUUCCCAAAACCUGAAAUUAAAAGUAAAUAAAUAAAAUCAGGACUCCUUUCGGGAUUAGUGAAAAAGGAAUGCUAUUUCAUUAGAAUAAUAACAGAACUAGGGAAAUCUAUUUGUAAAGAAAUUGCUGUAUCUCACUUGAUUGAAGAAAGAGAUAAUAAACCACACACGAAAAGCAUUUAUACAAGCAAGACUGGAAAUCUUUGCACACAAAAAAAAACCUUAGAUUUCCCUUUCCUUGAGCCAGGAAAUAUAGCAAAAUCCAUGGAAUAAACCCACAACAUAUAUAAUUUCUAGCAGAAUCAACUGACCUGAACUUUACAAAAAUUACAAACAAAAUAUUUCAUAAUCACUAAAUAUUCAAGGAUUACAAAAUUCUAUGACAGACAAAUCCAAAUUAUCCUUACAAAACGCAUCGGCAAUCCUCACCUUGAUGAUUUCAACAAGUUGAUCGACUCCACUCUCUCCAGGAAACAAAGGCUGCAAUAUAAGUUGAGCUUCAGGGAAGAAAUGCAAAAAUGAGGAAAGACCUAUUUAUUCAAGCAUCAAAUUACCUGUCCAAGAAGUAAUUCAGCCAUUACACAACCAGUUGACCAUAUAUCUAUUGCGGUUGUAUAUUCAGUGGCACCAAAGAUAAGUUCUGGAGCACGAUAGUAUCUUGAACAGAUGUAAGAAACAUUAGGUUCUCCUUUCACCUGAUGAAUUGAAACAUGGAGGAAGCUUGAGUAAAAACGAAAAAACCUCUAUCUACAAUCAGUGUACUAAGCACAAAAUCUUACCAACACUUUAGCACUUCCAAAAUCACAUAGUUUCAGCUGAUGAGUGUGUGGGUUCACCUGACACAAGUAAUGUUUAUCUGAGUACGACAAAUAGUAACUAAUGCCAUCAUAAGUAUACCAGACAAAGAUCCUACCAUCUUUGUGUUAAAUUAAGCAUAACUUAAAUUCACAAGUAUUACUAAAAGGCAAUGAGGCCUACAUGUUCAAGAAACACGACAGUCCACUUAGGAUAAAAUGAAGUCUGGCAUUUUCAUAUAGAGCAACAGGAAGAAGUAUUUGAUUAUACUAAAACACUCCUAGUUUCCAGCAUUGACAAAACUAUACAUUAAACAAUCACCACAAGCUAAAAUGAGAAGUUCAAGAGUGCACCCAAUGAUUAAAGAGAAAUACAACUGGAAAGUAGUUUUAAAAGCAAGUCACCUUUAGUUGCUAUGCACAGAAAUAGACAUUUGAGGAUAUAGGAAUAAGUAGGUGUAUAAAAUUUUCAACAAAUAUAAGAUGAAAAUUGAUUUAACAAAAUAAGUUUUUCUUGAUGAAAAUCUUAUGUUAACUAUUUGUUUGUGAACAUAAAAUGCUAGUUGCAAUUCAGAAAUAUUUCCUUUCAAUGUGGAUUUAUAUAGAUUUUGAGUGCAUUAAAAAUUUUUUUACUUCUAAAUUAGAAUCCAAAUAAAAGAUUGUAAUAAGCCUAAGUUUAGAUAACAUUAGUUAGUAAAUAUGUGUGAAAUUUUUGGAAGGAGGGGCCAAAUUAAGAAAAUACAAAAGAUGUUGCAGUAAUUGCAAAAUUAACAAAUAAUUGCAUAAGUUUGGUGGUGGCUACAGCCAUCCAUAGAAUACAAGAGGCUCCACCUCGGAGCAAGCCCAUUAUGACUUCCAGGUAACAAACAAAUCAACUACUCAAAGCAAUGUCUUACAAGUAAGUUCUGAGGUUUGAUGUCACGGUGACAUAUACCAAUGCAAUUAUGUAUAUAAGCAAGGGCCCUGCAAAUCUGCAGCCAAAACCGAAGAUGGGAAAAAUAUCAACAGACAUUAAAAGAAAAAUAACAUAAUUCUUUAAUUUUUCUGUUCCUCUGAAAGACUAUCACAAAUACAACUUGAAAAAUCCAUAUUAUCUAAGAAUCUAUUAAACUAAAAUUCUUCAAAUAGAUAAAUCAAAAAACGAGAAACUCAUUAUUAAGGGGGAAAAAUAGGCAGGAAUUAAAAAAAACUAGUUAGUUGAGCUCUUCAAAGGCCAAUCACAUAUUAUCAUCGAAUUAUUAUUUGUGGUAGUUCAGGGAUAGGAUCCUCUCUGCCACUUUUAUUUGAGUAUCUAGCUACCAUUUCCAGAUACAAAGAUAAGCAAACUACUUACCUGAUAGGUAUAAAGCUUUACAUAUACUAAAGGCAUUCGCUGAUUCAUUCGGCUAUAGUUCCUUGCAAUACGAUUCACAGUUUCAGGAACAUAUUCAAGUACAAGAUUCAAGUAAACUUCUUCUUUGUCAGUCGUUGAAUAGAAACAAUGCCUAAGGGCCACAAUAUUUGGAUGGUCCAGCAUCUGCAUUAUCUGUAGUUCUCUAUUCUUGUAGCGCUUAUCCUGGAGAACCUUCUUGAUGGCUACAAUCUCUCCGGUUUCUCUACAUUUUGCCUGAUAAAAGUGUUAAUAGAAUUCAAAAACUGACAGUAUGUCAUGUAUUAACAGCACAACAAUUACAAAAGACAUCCAAAGAAAAAUGAGUGGUUCUGCCUCACUUGAAAAACAACACCAAAAGAGCCUGUGCCGACAACGUGUUCCGCAAUAUAGCUAAUAUUCUGUUAGAGAAUGAUCAAUGACCAGUAACCAAAGGAGAAAUUGUUAGUGAUAGAAUGUUUCUCAUUCACAUUAUCAAGGUUUUUCCAAUACCAAUUGACCAAGAAAUAUUUUACCUGCCUAGAUUGACCAUUUCGGCCACCGAUGCUGGUUCUAAUCACAUGUCCAGUUUCAGCACCCACACCAUCAAUGAUGUCCGGCUCACUAUCCUGGAAUGCACAAACACAAUGGCAACUUACUAUGAUGGCCACAAAAUCAAAAGGCUCCAACAUUUCAAUUUCAAGUUCAAAUUCAAAUUCAAAUUCAAAAGUCACAAAACAAAAAUGAAGAUUGCUACUUACUCUGUCUUCUUCAUGGUCAGCUUUGUCCCUCAAUCUCAUCUCAAGCAUCUCUCUCCCGAGCCAAUCAACUGAACUAGAAGAACCCCUGAAGCCAUUAACAGACCUGGAACUGCCAACACCACCAUUUCCAAGGCUAGCCGACGCCAUGAGUGAGUGCCUUCCUUCCUUCCAAGAGUACCACAAAAUGCCACUAUUUUCUGCCUUCUAAGUUCUCUUCUCUCUUGUUUCCGAAAUCGAAGCACUGUUCACCCGGUAACUGUAACCAAAACCAUAACCAUAACCGUAACCGUAACAGUAACUGUAAGUGUAACAGCUUCAACGGAAAUCAUACCAAGUUAACUAGCAGCGACAUUGAUAAUUAGAUUUGGUCAGAUCUAAUCCCUUGAAAGACAAAAACCGGAUAUAGUAAUAAGCAGGGGACAAAAAGGAAAGUAGCAAAAAUAGUAGAAAACAACAAAAUCGAUCAACAAUGAAAAGAUCCAUCAAAUCCGAACACAAAAGAUAGAAACUAAAGAGAAUCGCGCUUGGUUGUGUGAGAGUGAGAUUGAUUAACCUGAAAGCUUCUGUGACGAGAAUCGGAGCAGUGCACUUUCAUUUUACUGACGAUUCUUCAAUUUGUGACUAUCAGUUAUUCCCUUAACUUCGAACAAUGGAUCGGGCUUCCGACAAAGUGAAGCGAUCGCCGGCUAUCGGAAAAAGGAAGAAGAAAAUUCCCUCCACUUUCAGCUCCAACUCUCUUCACUUUCUCUCUCUUCUUCUUCUUCUGCGAGAGUUUGGUUCGGUGUGUCGCUGUUUUGUAUUUUCCUUUUCUCUCUUAUUCUUCGCUCUGCGGAUAACAAAAUCCAAUAAAUCAUGAGUAAUCAUGGUCAAAUUAAUCCUCAAUUUUUUUUUAAUUUUAAUUAAAUUAAAUUUUUAAAAAUUUUAAGUUAAUUAUGUUAUUUUUUCGUUUUUUUUUUACUGUCGAAAAUUUGUUUAUAUAAUAACACAACAAGAGAUUGCGGGUUUGAGUCUCUUAUCUUUUCAAAUUUUGCCAAUGAGUAAUAGCUCAAAUGGCAUAGUCUCCCCAUACUCAAUUAACAGGUUGCAGUUUCGAGUCUAUACCAUUUGAGUUAUAACUCAUUGGCAUAAUAUUACUUAACAUAUUACAUUAAUAAAUUUUAAUUUUAUUAACAAAAGAAUAAUAAAAUGAUUAGCGUGAUUAAUUUAAAAUUUUUGAAAUAUUCAAAAGAUGGAUUUAAUUUUUUAAAAAAUGUUCGAAAAUCAAUUUUAAAAAAUAGAUAAUCUUUUAAAAAUGAACCUGACUUUUUUUUCAAAAAAAAUAUCUCAGAAUUAUAUAUAAUACAAACGUAUACGUAUUAUAAUACAGGCUCAUUGUUAUAUGGUAUUCGUAGUUCAAAACAGAAAGUGUGUAUAGUCUAUACUCUAUAGUCUAUAGAUAUGAGCAACAAAUAAAUAAAUCAAUAAUAUGAUUGUAUAUAAAAACUAAAAAGAAAUGAAAACAACAGAAAGCGAGUGAGCAAUUGGUUGGUGAAUUCAAUAAAAUUAUAAUUUCAUUUAAAUUAGAUCAAAUUUUUUUUUUUUACCAAAGAUAUGAGACUUGAACCCGCAACCUCUUAAUUGAGUAUGAGGAGACUAUGUCAUUUGAAUUAGGAGACUCGAACCCGCAACCUCUUAAUUGAGUAUGGGGAGUCUAUGCCAUUUUAGCUAUUACUCAUUUUAAAAUUUGGAAAGAUCAAUUAUUUGUAGAACGGUAGCUGAAUAAAAUAAAUUUAAUUUUAAUACAUUAUCAAUCUAUAUAAAAUAAUUUUAUGUAUGUAUUUAAUUAUAUAAUUAAAUAUUAGUAAAAAUAAUUAUUUUUUAUUUUGACAAUGUGAAUGAUUAUUUAUAAAAAAAUAAAUAUAUAAAAUAUUUUAAAGCAUUAAAAUUAAAUGCUAAUAAAAUUAUACAAAUAUCAAAUUUUAUUAUGUUAUAGAAUAUAAAAAACAAUGCGUAAGAAUAAGCUGGAAAAUAAGUAAAUAACCCUAAAAAAAUUCCUGAAAAUACUGGGCAUGAACUUGAAACUAAGAUCAAAUUGAAGAUACUUUUACUUGUCUCUAAGAUUUUUAAUUUUAUCAACUUUGUAGAUUCAUGAUUAACAAUAAUGGUUUUGACCAAAACUUUUUUCUGUCUUUAAAGGAAGGAAGAACGCAAACUCGAUUGUAAUAAUUUGUGCCUAUUGAACUCUAGGGCUUACUUUUUACUUUAAGCCUGCCUAGUUUUUCCAUUGCCAGCAUGCUUUCAUGUGCAUAAGAUUGAAAAGGCCACUCCAUUCCAUCAUAUAGGCGAUUUGAUGAAUUUUUUUAUCAUUGUUUUUUCUAAUUGAAUUAGAGUUUAACAUUCAAAACAAUUUAUUAAUAAUACUACAGAGAGGAAAAUUCUAUAAAGUAUAAAUACUAUUUAAAAAACAACAAAAAAAACCUGCGAGAAUUUAACAAUACUUAAUUUUAAGGAUGACAAACUAUCCGAAUUUGUCUAUAUUCAUCUGAUCUUUAUCCAUUCAUAGAGGAAGAGUAAAUUCAACUUUUUAUUAUCCACAAAUAAAAAUAGAACAAAUUUUAUAUGAGUUAUUAUUCGAUGAGACAAAAUCGAAUAGGAUAAAAAUCCGCUCUUUAUCUGCCUCCCCAGUUAGCUCAUUAGUUAACAUAAUUAUAUUAGUAAUAGGUCAUCUUCCUCUUUGAUGAACUACAUUAGCAUUUUACAUUGAAAAACUAGACUUAUGGGAUAAAUCACAAAUGAGCAGUGGUCCAAACAUAUAAAGGUUGUAAUAAGAAAAUGAAAAUUAAAAUUUUUAAAAGAAUUUAAAUCAUUUAUUUUUAAUUGUUUCAAAAUAAAAAAAAAAUGAACACUUAAGUAAAUUUCAAUUUCUUUCAUUCCAAACAAACUCAUAAUAAGCAACCUCUUUUUUUUUUUCCCCAAAGGUAUAUAAUAAUAAGCAACCUUACUAACAUGGGAUUAGUGAAAGUGGCUGAACAUCCCAAGUUGAAGCAUAUACUAAAAUAGUACUUGGUGAGUGGGGGAGUUAUGUAUAUUAAACAUUUAUAGUAUUAUAUUAUAUAUAUAUUAAUAUAAAACGAAUUUUAAGAAAAUGAAGAGGGAGGAGAGGGAAGAAUAUUCUAGAUGCAUGUUCGCUCCAAUCUACGCAUUGCUUGACACGGUAUAUGUAGGCCAUCCUUGCCUCCUUAACCACCACUACUAGCUUUUAAAAUGAUGUAUCCAUUAGUCUUGUGGAUGAGAACAAGAAAAAAGGUUCUUAAUCCAAUAUCAUCAACUAAGGAUAUAUUCAUAUAAAAAUAUCACGAUAAUUAAAAAUUGUCAAAUAUUUUAAUAUAUUUCACUAGAUUAUUUAAUAUAAUACAUAUAAUCUUAACCAAUAUUUUUACUUAAAAAAUAUCUUUAUGUAAAUAACCACCUACUUAAAUACUAUACUUGAAUACUUGAGGCUAUAGAUUUUACACACCCCGCACUAAAGUAUUGCAAUUUCAUGAAAUGGCAAUAUAUGAGAUGAACUUAGCUUUUAGGGAGAUUGGAGAAGGAACAUUUGUCAAGAGUUCAUGCUUACAAACGAUGCUGUUAGUAUCUCUUAUUGUUUGGGAAAGUGUGGGGACAUUCAUGUGCGCAAAUGACCACGAAAAACGGUCCCUCUAGUCUGACUAAUUACUACAGUACUUUAUACGAUGAAUUAAAGAAGACAAAGACCACCGUUGUUUCUGCCAUAAAUUCUUGUAUACUGAAACACAUUGAGCACAACCACUAGUUUUAAUUUAUAACAUUUAAACGUCAUAAUAAAAAAUAGAAGACAGAACAAAUUUUAUGCGGUGGAGGGUAGAGUCAGUCCAAUCCUCUAGUGUCUAGUCUAUCCUUUCCUAUUCCAUUGCUAAGUUGACGUUUCAUGUUAGCACUGCUCGACGAGGGUGCCAAACCAACAAAUAGAAGGGAACAAAUAAUAAUAAUAAUAUUAAAAGAGCCAAGAGUUGAGUAACUUAUGUGAGACAACAUUAGAGAAGCUAAAUCAAUAAUAUCAAUGUGCCCUUCUUUGUGUGUAUUAUAAAAGUAAACACUGGCGUGCAAUUGGCUCGAAUAAAAUUGAUAGAUGAAAUUUAUUAAAUUAUUUAACAUGUUUAAUUAAACUAUCUAAUAACCUUUAAGUUUUAACUAUCAUCUUUACAUGAACAUCUAAUAACUUUUAAAUUUUAACUAUCAUCUUUACAUGAAAAACAUGAAAACUACUACGUGAAGACGACUACAUGAAUUUCCACAGUAAUAUAUUUAAAUCUCGUGCUAAAAAUGAAAAUUGAAAAACAACAUAAGGAAGCCAGAGUAAAUUUGGUAAAAAGAUGUUAUUAAAUAUAAGGAUAAACUUCAUAUUUCGUCUUAGACAUCCUCCCUCCCAAACUUUACAGUUGGAAAACAUCCACACACCAUGACACCAAUGUGAUCCUGAUGGAAUUCUAAUACCCAAAUAGCAUAAAGGACUUUACAGACGGAUGACAUCCACAAUAAUCUAAACAUGGGUUUAUAACUACUACGUUUGGGAAGGAUAAGGAUGGUAAUUCACAAAAUUAAUUAACUUAUAAUCACGAACCAGCAGUGUAACAGCCAUGUUUUGCUGAGACAUGCAAGUAUGCAAUACCACACUGUACAAUAAUAUUUUAGAGCCAGAACAAUAUCCACACACUAGUAACUCCCGCAAGACCUUAUUUAUCCUUAGUAACACACCAUCUAUGGUAUUUCCGUGUCUGUGCCCUGGAGAAAACUCCAAAGUCAACGAUAGGAUGUAGACAUAGCGAGCCUGAAACAUAGUCCAUUUGAGUGUUCCUUCAAUGUAAAUGAGCAGAGAGGUAGUCCAAAACUGAUCCAGGAUCAUUUUCGCAAGCUCCUACUUGUAUUUGGUGGACAGCUAGCGAGAGAUUGUAUAAUAGGGGCUGCUAAGGACACACAAAAUCCUGGAUUCAUAUUUACACCUAAACUAUUUAAGAUAUUGGAAUAUAAACCCAGACAAUGCCCAUUACUCAGUCAACUUGCCAGGCUAUUCAAAUCUAUCCACAAUUCUUCAAACAUCUACAAUUUGUAAUAGGGAGACCAAGGAAUUCUGAUGCCAAUAAUCUCUCUCUCUCUCUCUCUCUGAACGGAUCCCAUCUUCAAUCUAUGUCCGAAUAUUUUAAUUGUAAAGAA
rnacentral:lncRNA from 1 species